rnacentral:lncRNA from 1 species
GCCUUACUGAAGAGCUCAGUAACUUUCAAUGUGGCACCGUCAUAGGAUGCCACCUUUCCAACAAGUCAAUUCAAGGAUCAACAGCGGGAUGACAUCUACAACCUGAAGGAAAAGAUGAAAACCGUGCAGGAAAGGAGUGAUGAUGCAAAGGUAUAUGUGGACCUGCUGAAGAAAGACCGACAAUGAAAACAAAAUUCACAAUGAUUUUAAGUCAAAAUGUUUCUCUUAUUGCAAUUUCACAAAUGUAUGUUAUAGCUGAAAUGUGACAUUUUACUUGUUACAGAGACAAUGCACUCCUCUUAGGGAGUGUAACUUUCCUUUGUGGCUGUGAAAAUAUCUUGUUUCAGUUCCUUUUUAUGUCUGUUAUCCCCACAGAUCAACCCGACGGUAGCUUUUUCAGUUGGACUUGAUGAAGUUUGUACCUUUUUAUUAUACAGUGCAUUCAGACCGUUGACUUUUUCCAC